AUCAACCACCACCUUCUAAUUCUAAGAGCUAAGCUUUCUGGUUGAUGUGCAGCAUGUGCUUAUGUGUUGAUUGUUGUGGGGCUUUACUCAGUGCUAUGGGGAAAGCACAAAGAGAGCAUGGAGAAUAAAGAAGAGAAGAUAUCGAAUGCUAUAAAGGGUGCUCAAGUAUGCAGUUUCAGGAAUCAAAGAUAUUUGUAGAAUGAGUUUUCUUUGUAGAUUCUGGAUAAUGGUCCAUGGAAUUACAACUUCUUUAGUAUGAAGUAUGGGGUGAAGCUGGGUACAACAAUACUAGUGUUGAUAAAAUGAUGUUAAGAAUUGAGCCUUUUCAUAUAGCUUUCGGAGCAAAAAAAUUUAGAAAUUCUACCAUUCCAUAAAUUUGUGUAGUGUAUACAUUUUGAACCUUCCUUCACUUCUAAUCGAUUUGUUGCAUAUUGCUUUUA